UACGAAGGGGACUAGCGUUGUUCGGAAUCACUGGGCGUAAAGCGCACGUAGGCGGAUGUGUCAGUCAGGGGUGAAAUCCCGGGGCUCAACCUCGGAACUGCCUUUGAUACAGCACGUCUCGAGUCCGGAAGAGGUGGGUGGAAUUCCUAGUGUAGAGGUGAAAUUCGUAGAUAUUAGGAGGAACACCGGUGGCGAAGGCGGCCCACUGGUCCGGUACUGACGCUGAGGUGCGAAAGCGUGGGGAGCAAACAGG
rnacentral:rRNA from 1 species